rnacentral:siRNA from 1 species
UGAUGGGUGCUACAAUGAAGAC